UACGUAGGGGGCAAGCGUUGUCCGGAUUUAUUGGGCGUAAAGAGCGUGUAGGCGGCUAGAUAGGUCCCUUGUGAAAACUCGAGGCUCAACCUCGAGACGUCGAUGGAAACCGUCUGGCUAGAGUCCGGAAGAGGAGUGGUGGAAUUCCUGGUGUAGCGGUGAAAUGCGCAGAUAUCAGGAAGAACACCUAUGGCGAAGGCAGCACUCUGGGACGGUACUGACGCUGAGACGCGAAAGCGUGGGGAGCGAACAGG
rnacentral:rRNA from 1 species